rnacentral:rRNA from 1 species
UACAGAGGGUGCAAGCGUUAAUCGGAAUUACUGGGCGUAAGCGUGCGUAGACGGUUAUGUAAGUCGGGUGUGAAAGCCCCGGGCUCAACCUGGGAAUGCCAUUCGAGACUGCAUAGCUAGGGUGCGGAAGAGGGAAGCGGAAUUUCCGGUGUAAGCGGUGAAAUGCGUAGAUAUCGGAAGGAACACCAGUGGCGAAAGCGGCUCCUGGUCCAGCACCGACG